rnacentral:rRNA from 1 species
AAGGCAUGGCGUACUGCUCAGUAACACGUGGAUAGCCUACCCUUGGGACGGGCAUAAACCCGGGAAACUGGGUAUAAUUCCCGAUAGGUCUGGGAGGCUGGAACGCACUCAGACUGAAAGCUCCGGCACCCAAGGAUGGGUCUGCGGCCUAUCAGGUAGUAGUGGGUGUAAUGUACCUACUAGCCUACUACGGGUACGGGUUGUGAGAGCAAGAGCCCGGAGAUGGAUUCUGAGACACGAAUCCAGGCCCUACGGGGUGCAGCAGGCGCGAAAACUUUACAAUGCGGGCAACCGCGAUAAGGGGACCUCGAGUGCCGACAUCAAAUGUCGGCUGUCGUGAUGCCUAAAAAGCAUUAUAUAGCAAGGGCCGGGCAAGACCGGUGCCAGCCGCCGCGGUAACACCGGCGGCUCGAGUGGUGACCGCUAUUAUUGGGUUUAAAGGGUCUGUAGCCGGCCGGAUAAAUCUCUUGAGAAAUCUGGCCGCUCAACGGUCAGGCUUUCAGGAGAUACUGUCUGGCUCGAGGCCGGGAGAGGUGAGAGGUACUUCAGGGGUAGGGGUGAAAUCUUGUAAUCCUUGAAGGACCACCAGUGGCGAAGGCGUCUCACCAGAACGGACCUGACGGCAAGGGACGAAAGCUAGGGGCACGAACCGGAUUAGAUACCCGGGUAGUCCUAGCCGUAAACGAUACUCGCUAGGUGUCGGCCACGGUGCGACCGUGGUCGGUGCCGCAGGGAAACCGUGAAGCG